rnacentral:rRNA from 1 species
UACGAAGGGGGCUAGCGUUGUUCGGAAUUACUGGGCGUAAAGGGCGCGUAGGCGGCUUCGCUAGUCGGGCGUGAAAUGCCUGGGCUUAACCCGGGAAUUGCGUUCGAUACUUCGAGGCUAGAGUGUGGGAGAGGUUGGUGGAAUUCCCAGUGUAGAGGUGAAAUUCGUAGAUAUUGGGAAGAACACCGGUGGCGAAGGCGGCCAACUGGACCACAACUGACGCUGAGGCGCGAAAGCGUGGGGAGCAAAAGGG